GGCAGACUAGAGUGCGGUAGGGGAGAUUGGAAUUCCUGGUGUAGCGGUGGAAUGCGCAGAUAUCAGGAGGAACACCGAUGGCGAAGGCAGAUCUCUGGGCCGUAACUGACGCUGAGGAGCGAAAGGGUGGGGAGCAAACAGGCUUAGAUACCCUGGUAGUCCACCCCGUAAACGUUGGGAACUAGUUGUGGGGUCCAUUCCACGGAUUCCGUGACGCAGCUAACGCAUUAAGUUCCCCGCCUGGGGAGUACGGCCGCAAGGCUAAAACUCAAAGGAAUUGACGGGGACCCGCACAAGCGGCGGAGCAUGCGGAUUAAUUCGAUGCAACGCGAAGAACCUUACCAAGGCUUGACAUAUUCGAGAACGCCGUAGAAAUACGGAACUCUUUGGACACUCGUUUACAGGUGGUGCAUGGUUGUCGUCAGCUCGUGUCGUGAGAUGUUGGGUUAAGUCCCGCAACGAGCGCAACCCUCGUUCUAUGUUGCCAGCACGUAAUGGUGGGAACUCAUGGGAUACUGCCGGGGUCAACUCGGAGGAAGGUGGGGAUGACGUCAAAUCAUCAUGCCCCUUAUGUCUUGGGCUUCACGCAUGCUACAAUGGCCGGUACAAAGGGCUGCAAUACCGUGAGGUGGAGCGAAUCCCAAAAAGCCGGUCCCAGUUCGGAUUGAGGUCUGCAACUCGACCUCAUGAAGUCGGAGUCGCUAGUAAUCGCAGAUCAGCAACGCUGCGGUGAAUACGUUCCCGGGUCUUGUACACACCGCCCGUCAAGUCAUGAAAGUCGGUAACACCUGAAGCCGGU
rnacentral:rRNA from 1 species